rnacentral:lncRNA from 1 species
GGCUUUCAAACGCUGAUGGAUGGUAAUGGAUGGUAAUAAGUACCCCAGCCUCCUUGCCCUUGGGUGGACCAAUCCAGAGGCUCUUAUCAGGACCAGCCUGAUUCAUUUCAGGUGUACGCAGUCCCUCCCUUCCGUCUCUCUCUUUCACUCCGCCAUCUUCCCGCUGGUGAUGUCUUGGGCAAAGCUGAGCAGCUUUUUUGGAAAGAUAAUCUGCCUGAGCGGAAGCCGGCGUCAUUUGAAACAAAUCCCUGAAGUCACUGACUGUGAGUUGCUGAAGAAAUCAGACGUGCUUACCACAUGACAUGCAGUGUGAUUCUUCACCAUAAAUUGUAAGGCUUGGACAGACUGACUUAUUGUUCCCUUGUCAUCGUGGGAUUUGUGCUAUUUUUUUGGCAAGUUUUUUUUUUUUUUUUUUUCUUCCCAGCCUUAGUUUGUUUCAGUUAAAAAGCAGACUUGAAAUAUUAGCAAGAGGACAAAUCUGUAGUCUGUUUUCCUUCCUUAUUUGAUUUGUGGAAGUUGAGACUCAG